rnacentral:rRNA from 1 species
AUUGAACGCUGGCGGCAGGCCUAACACAUGCAAGUCGAGCGAGCGGCGGACGGGUGAGUAAUGUAUGGGGACUGCCCGUUAGAGGGGGAUAACUCCUGGAAACGGUAGCUAAUCCCGCAUACUAUCGGAUAACCCAUAUGGGAUUAGCUAGUCGGUGAGGUAAUGGCUCACCUAGGCGACGAUCCCUAGCUGGUCUGAGAGGAUGAUCAGCCACACUGGGACUGAGACACGGCCCAGACUCCUACGGAGGCAGCAGUGGGGAAUAUUGCACAAUGGGCGCAAGCCUGAUGCAGCCAUGCCGCGUGUGUGAAGAAGGCCCUAGGGUUGUAGAGUACUUUCAGUCGGGAAGCGUUACCGACAGAAGAAGCAACGGCUAACUCCGUGCCAGCCGCCGCGGUAAUUC